rnacentral:rRNA from 1 species
AACGAACGCUGGCGGCAGGCUUAACACAUGCAAGUCGAGCGCCCCGCAAGGGGAGCGGCAGACGGGUGAGUAACACGUGGGAAUCUACCCAUCCCUACGGAACAACUCCGGGAAACUGGAGCUAAUACCGUAUACGCCCUUUGGGGGAAAGAUUUAUCGGGGAUGGAUGAGCCCGCGUCGGAUUAGCUAGUUGGUGGGGUAAAGGCCUACCAAGGCGACGAUCCGUAGCUGGUCUGAGAGGAUGAUCAGCCACACUGGGACUGAGACACGGCCCAGACUCCUACGGGAGGCAGCAGUGGGGAAUAUUGGACAAUGGGCGCAAGCCUGAUCCAGCCAUGCCGCGUGAGUGAUGAAGGCCUUAGGGUUGUAAAGCUCUUUCACCGGAGAAGAUAAUGACGGUAUCCGGAGAAGAAGCCCCGGCUAACUUCGUGCCAGCCGCCGCCGUAAUAC